rnacentral:rRNA from 1 species
UACAGAGGGUGCAAGCGUUGUUCGGAAUUAUUGGGCGUAAAGCGCGUGUAGGCGGCUUUGCAAGUCGGGUGUGAAAGCCCUCAGCUCAACUGAGGAAGUGCGCCCGAAACUGCAGAGCUUGAGUGCCGGAGAGGGUGGCGGAAUUCCCCCAAGUAGAGGUGAAAUUCGUAGAUAUGGGGAGGAACACCGGUGGCGAAGGCGGCCGACC